GAUGAACGCUAGCUACAGGCUUAACACAUGCAAGUCGAGGGGAAACGGCAUUGAGUGCUUGCACUCUUUGGACGUCGACCGGCGCACGGGUGAGUAACGCGUAUCCAACCUUCCCAUUACUGUGGGAUAACCUGCCGAAAGGCAGACUAAUACCGCAUAGUCUUCGAUGACGGCAUCAGAUUUGAAGUAAAGAUUUAUCGGUAAUGGAUGGGGAUGCGUCUGAUUAGCUUGUUGGCGGGGUAACGGCCCACCAAGGCUACGAUCAGUAGGGGUUCUGAGAGGAAGGUCCCCCACAUUGGAACGGAGACACGGUCCAAACUCCUACGGGAGGCAGCAGUGAGGAAUAGUGGUCAAUGGACGGAAGUCUGAACCAGCCAAGUAGCGUGCAGGAUGACGGCCCUAUGGGUUGUAAACUGCUUUUGUAUGGGGAUAAAGUUAGGGACGUGUCCCUAUUUGCAGGUACCAUACGAAUAAGGACCGGCUAAUUCCGUG
rnacentral:rRNA from 1 species